AACGAACGCUGGCGGCAUGCCUAACACAUGCAAGUCGAACGAGACCUUCGGGUCUAGUGGCGCACGGGUGCGUAACGCAUGGGAACCUGCCCUUAGGUUCGGAAUAACUCCCCGAAAGGGGUGCUAAUACCGGAUAAUGUCUUCGGACCAAAGAUUUAUCGCCUUUGGAUGGGCCCGCGUUGGAUUAGCUAGUUGGUAGGGUAAAAGCCUACCAAGGCGACGAUCCAUAGCUGGUCUGAGAGGAUGAUCAGCCACACUGGGACUGAGACACGGCCCAGACUCCUACGGGAGGAAGCAGUGGGGAAUAUUGGACAAUGGGCGAAAGCCUGAUCCAGCAAUGCCGCGUGAGUGAUGAAGGCCUUAGGGUUGUAAAGCUCUUUUAACCGGGAUGAUAAUGACAGUACCGGGAGAAUAAGCUCCGGCUAACUCCGUG
rnacentral:rRNA from 1 species